UGCCAGCCGCCGCGGUAAUACGGGAGUGGCAAGCGUUAUCCGGAAUUAUUGGGCGUAAAGGGCGCGUAGGCGGUCUUUUAAGUUAGGCGUGAAAGCCCCGGGCUCAACCCGGGAACUGCGCUUAAGACUGGGAGACUAGAAAACGGAAGAGGGUAGUGGAAUUCCCAGUGUAGAGGUGAAAUUCGUAGAUAUUGGGAAGGACACCAGUGGCGAAAGCGGCUACCUGGCUCAAAACUGACGCUGAGGGACGAAAGUAUGGGUAUCAAAUGGGAUUAGAUA
rnacentral:rRNA from 1 species